AUAUACAUAUAUCAAGCCUUCUCUUGUAGAAGGGUUUGGAUGUGGGGGUUUGCUGGCCUCUUAAGAGUUCAGCUCUCCUGAAAUGCAUUAGCAGAACAACCUUAUGUUCAUUGGUGUGAUAACUAUCUACGCUAUUGAAUGUUGAGGGGGAAGUUCAGCUUUCUAACGGUCCCUUGGACAACUCAUCAUUA
rnacentral:misc_RNA from 1 species